CAAUCAUAUUCAGUAUGGCGAAAAUCAGAGCCCAGCAUUCUACUGUAACUAGGUCGGUGAGACACUCUUUCCGGUCACUAUGGUGAAAAUCAGGAUCUAGCAUUCUACUGCAACCGGAUCGGUGAGACACUCUUCCCGUCGGGAAGAGGUUUCUCCCCCUCCAGUAGUAGAGCCUAGUUCUUCACGUCCUGUGAUCACCACGGACGUCCAAAUUGCUGCACUCGUGCAACAGAUGAAUGUCCUCAUGGAGGCAGUCAAAAGCCUCUAACAGCAACAACCACC
rnacentral:lncRNA from 1 species